rnacentral:rRNA from 1 species
UACGUGGGAUGCAAGUGUUAUCCGGAAUCACUGGGCGUAAAGCGUCUGCAGGCGGUUUCCUAAGUCCACUGUUAAACCUUGAGGCUCAACCUCAAAUCUGCAUUGGAAACUAGGAGACUUGAGUAUAGUAGGGGUAGAGGGAAUUUCCAGUGGAGCGGUGAAAUGCGUAGAUAUUGGAAAGAACACCGAUGGCGAAGGCACUCUACUGGGCUAUUACUGACACUCAGAGACGAGAGCUAGGGGAGCAAAUGGG